rnacentral:rRNA from 2 species
GGAUCAUUACUGAGUUUACGCUCUAUAACCCUUUGUGAACAUACCUAUAACUGUUGCUUCGGCGGGUAGGGUCUCCGCGACCCUCCCGGCCUCCCGCCUCCGGGCGGGUCGGCGCCCGCCGGAGGAUAACCAAACUCUGAUUUAACGACGUUUCUUCUGAGUGGUACAAGCAAAUAAUCAAAACUUUUAACAACGGAUCUCUUGGUUCUGGCAUCGAUGAAGAACGCAGCGAAAUGCGAUAAGUAAUGUGAAUUGCAGAAUUCAGUGAAUCAUCGAAUCUUUGAACGCACAUUGCGCCCGCCAGCAUUCUGGCGGGCAUGCCUGUUCGAGCGUCAUUUCAACCCUCAAGCUCUGCUUGGUGUUGGGGCCCUACAGCUGAUGUAGGCCCUCAAAGGUAGUGGCGGACCCUCCCGGAGCCUCCUUUGCGUAGUAACUUUACGUCUCGCACUGGGAUCCGGAGGGACUCUUGCCGUAAAACCCCCCAAUUUUCCAAAGGUUGACCUCGGAUCAGGUAGGAAUACCCGCUGAACUUAAGCAUAUCAA